rnacentral:rRNA from 1 species
UCAGGCCUAACACAUGCAAGUCGAGCGGAAACGAGUUAUCUGAACCUUCGGGGAACGAUAACGGCGUCGAGCGGCGGACGGGUGAGUAAUGCCUAGGAAAUUGCCCUGAUGUGGGGGAUAACCAUUGGAAACGAUGGCUAAUACCGCAUGAUGCCUACGGGCCAAAGAGGGGGACCUUCGGGCCUCUCGCGUCAGGAUAUGCCUAGGUGGGAUUAGCUAGUUGGUGAGGUAAGGGCUCACCAAGGCGACGAACCCCAGCUGGUCUGAGAGGAUGAUCAGCCACACUGGAACUGAGACACGGUCCAGACUCCUACGGGAGGCAGCAGUGGGGAAUAUUGCACAAUGGGCGCAAGCCUGAUGCAGCCAUGCCGCGUGUGUGAAGAAGGCCUUCGGGUUGUAAAGCACUUUCAGUCGUGAGGAAGGUAGUGUAGUUAAUAGCUGCAUUAUUUGACGUUAGCGACAGAAGAAGCACCGGCUAACUCCGUGCCAGCAGCCGCGGUAAUACGGAGGGUGCGAGCGUUAAUCGGAAUUACUGGGCGUAAAGCGCAUGCAGGUGGUUUGUUAAGUCAGAUGUGAAAGCCCGGGGCUCAACCUCGGAAUAGCAUUUGAAACUGGCAGACUAGAGUACUGUAGAGGGGAGUAGAAUUUCA